UAUGGAUUCAGCAUGUGUUUGAGAUGGCAGGAGGCUUGGCGAUUGGCGUUGUGUUUCUGGGGCCAGCCACACCCAGCAGAACUGGGGCAGCAGGUGGGGAGACGGAGGACUUGCUACUGUGAACGGUGAUCGAGAGCUGGCUCCUGAGCUCACAGAUCUUACAUUCCACUUGGAGACAAAGAACACCCUUUUCCCGUCCCCCUGCCAAGUCUUCACACCAGUGGACCACCCCUACUUGUCAAGCCUUGGCUCCUCGGAGUGGCCCUUCUCUGACGUCCUUGUUCCUGAGUUUUUCCUGCGAGCCACUCUGCUCACCAUUUCUGGGUGUAUUUGUAAUCAACCUCAGAGUCUUUGGUUUGUUUACUUAUUCACUUGCAUGCUGUCUGUCCCCAACCAGAAUGUACGCUUC